AAAAGUCUUGUUAUGGUUCGCAUUAAUAGCUAUUGGAAUGUAAAGACAGGUAACAACAACAUGGGGGUCUCAAAAAUUCUCAAAAUUCGAAAAUGAUGGAAUCGGUGAACAAUACUGAUCCACUCACUAAACUUGGUCAGUAACCAAGCUUCCAAAUAAUUUUCCCACUAUGGUGUUCAAUAUGAUGCUUCUGUAAAAAUGAGCACCUCCAACAUAAGGAAAACUCACCAUUAUACCGAUUGUAACUCGCCAUUACUCCCUCACCAGAUGUGUUUGUCUUUCAUGUCCUUAUCUAUAUAAAUAUUUUUACUGUAUUUUUAGCAACACAGGACUUUAAUUUUAUCGAAUUUUCACCUACAUAUAUUUAGGAGAUUUUUAAUAAUGAGUCCAUAACUCUAGCACCUAAUCAGUUCCAAACAAGAUAUAAGCAGCUCACUCAGUCGUCUACAGUUAACAGGAG
rnacentral:lncRNA from 1 species